GCCUGGGUGGCGGAACGGUUUACGCGUGGCACUCAAAAUGCCAUGGGAGCAAUCCCAUGUGGGUUCGAAUCCCACCCCAGGCACCA
rnacentral:tRNA from 1 species